AAACCCUCAGUGCAGCGCUUGUGUCAGGCGCAAUCUCGCAAGAUCCGGUGAGGCGCUACGUCGUGCUCCACUCGGUCCCAAAAGUACCUGCAAGCGCUACACACUUGCGCUCGGCGCCCUUGCUCUGUUCUCACUUUCCGAGAUAUCCACGCAUCUUGAGUCCUGCAUCCACUCCCGGGAGGCGGCUGCGGCAAGCGCGUGAUGGAAGAAGAGCGUGAUAGCCAGCUAGACAGGUGGCCAGAGCGGAGCGGUGGGUGAGAUGCGGGCUAAGGAGAGGGCAGAUGCCUAAAGUGCCUGCGGGACGGUGGAGAGGUGCCCGAAGUCCUUGUUGGGGUGGUGGAGAGGUGGCUGAAAUUCUUGCGGGAUAGUGGGGCGAUGGCUAAGUGCUUGCAGGACAGUGGGGCGAUGGCUAAGUGCUUGCGGGACAGGGGAGAGGUGGCUAAGUGCUUGCGGGACAGUGGGACAGUGGCAAAGUGCUUUCAGGACAGUGGAGCGAUGGCUACGUGCUUGCGGGACAGCGGAAGAGAUGGUUAAAGUGAUUGCCAAGCAGCAGAAAGAUUCCUAAAAUGCUUGCCAGCUAUGCGGAGAUGAAGGUAAAAUGCCUGCGUAGUCCCGAACCGAUAGUUAAAAUGCCUGCCGCAUAACGGAGGAAUAACUAAAAUGUCUGCUGGGUCCUGGAGCCAAAAUUUAAAAUGUCUGUCCCUUACAGGUGGUUAGACUACCGGUCAGGGACCUGGAAAGAUAGCUAACAUACAUGCCACGUUCCCGGACUAAUGGCUCAAAUGGAUGCCUGCCACCGGGUACUGGGAGGUCACUAAAAUGUCUGCCACGGGGUACUUGGGCUAUCACUAAAAUGCCUGCCACCGGGGAUCUGGGAGGUCGCUAAAAUGCCUGCCACCGCUUACUGGGAGGUCACUAAAAUGUCUGCCACGGGGGACUUGGGCUAUCACUAAAAUGCCUGCCACCAGGGAUCUGGGAGGUCACUAAAAUGCCUGCCACCGGGGAUCUGGGCUAUCACUAAAAUGUCUGCCACUGGGGAUCUGGAAGAUCGCUAAAAUGCCUGCCACCGGGGACCUGGGCUAUCACUAAAAUGCCUGCCACCGGGGACCUGGGCUAUCACUAAAAUGUCUGCCACUGGGGAUCUGGAAGAUCGCUAAAAUGCCUGCCACCGGGGACCUGGGCUAUCACUAAAAUGCCUGCCACCGGGGACCUGGGCUAUCACUAAAAUGUCUGCCACUGGGGAUCUGGAAGAUCGCUAAAAUGCCUGCCACCGGGGACCUGGGCUAUCGCUAAAAUGCCUGCCACCGGGGACCUGGGCUAUCACUAAAAUGCCUGCCGCCGCCAGGGACCUGGGGAGAUCGCUAAAAUCCCUGCCUUAUAACCAACCCCUAGAGGUCGACUAAAAUGUCUGCUGGGCAGAGCAGAGGUGAUGAAAAUGUCUGGGAUAGCGUAGAGAUGGUUGGCUAAAAUGUUACAGGUAGAUAUGCAAAGCGUUCAAUAAGCCUGGCGUGGGUAAUAAACUGCAGUCUAGAGCGGAAAAGAAAGUUAAGGGCGUGACUUGUAGCAGGGUCUAGAAUCCACACACUCACAUCAGGGAAAGCCUCGUGUCCGAAAAACUCUUUGGAAUAGUCUUAAUAUUUUAAUAUUGCUCAAGCCAAAUUCAGCAAUACUACCUCACCGCACGUGUCUUUUUCAGGUGAGGUUUCAAUGAUUUACAUCGACCAAGAACCCGCAGCCUCGGUCUCUCGAAUCGGAUCCGACAUCAUCCAACACUUCAGUGUUAGAAUUGCAAGCAUGCGCUCUCCCGACCUGGGCAGGCACUUCGAAAAAAUGAUGACUAAAGACACACGUGAAGUACCAAGCGAAACUCACGUCCUUAUGGGACAGUGACUCAUCACAGUCUAAUUCCAUCCUGGCCACCAAGCAAUAAUGCACAUUUCUAACUGGAAGUCAAGCAAACACCAACACUUUCACACUUGUGCCCAUUUCUGACGAGUUACGUCAAGUGGCAACCAACACUUCCACUUAGCCUUGCCUCAGCUUCGAGUGGCACAAGGUAGGACCAACCACACCCUACCAUAAUGCACCAAGUGUACCCUCGGGCAAAGCCCGCCAAGUAGCUAAAGCCCGCCAAAAAAAAAAUCACUGAAAGAAACCACUAGAGGGCAGGUCACAUGACUUCCGCCAUCUUAGACACAUUCAAGAGCAUGUGCCACCUCUCCAGGCUAACUCAGACAUGAAGCUGACAUGUGACACACAAAGCCCUUUGCGUUAUACCGCACCAAGAACUUGAGCCGCCAUCUUUUCCUGUACGACCUAAAUGUCCUAUAAUCCAUUGCUACACACCAGAACAAAGAUUGGGCUGUCGAGCCUCGGGUGGAGCCCCCGAGCCGCCAUUUUAUAGACUUCUGAGCAGCCCUUAAAGCCACGGGGGACCGCGCCAGGGGUCCAUAUGCACACACACCCUGCCCAAUCCCCACACCCACGCUGAGCCCUAUCCCCUAGUCCUCUGCGGCUUCCGCGCAACACCGCACACUAAUACGAGCACUCCUUGGCUUUCUACUUCCGGCUAGCACAACCCCGCAAAUGCUACCACAAAUCAAGGCGAAUCCCGCAACCCCGCACAUAUAAAGAAAGCCUUUAGCUAGCGCAGCGCAAUUGGUUGCUUUUAUCCAGUCCGCUGUGCUCCUCGGUGUCCUAAUUCUUGGCGUAACUGGCUCGAGAAUAGCCGUAUCACGCAGAAGCCAUAAUGGCGGACGCGGGCUCUCCACGCCCUGAACACCCACUCAGUUUAAGAGCAAAGUCGUUUUUCUAAGCCAUAGGUUCAC
rnacentral:sRNA from 1 species